GAUGAACGCUGGCGGCGUGCCUAAUACAUGCAAGUCGAGCGAACAGACGAGGAGCUUGCUCCUCUGACGUUAGCGGCGGACGGGUGAGUAACACGUGGAUAACCUACCUAUAAGACUGGGAUAACUUCGGGAAACCGGAGCUAAUACCGGAUAAUAUAUUGAACCGCAUGGUUCAAUAGUGAAAGACGGUUUUGCUGUCACUUAUAGAUGGAUCCGCGCCGCAUUAGCUAGUUGGUAAGGUAACGGCUUACCAAGGCAACGAUGCGUAGCCGACCUGAGAGGGGUGUCGGCCCACUGGGACUGGGACCACGGCCCGAACCCCACGGGGGGGCAGAGGGAGGAAUUUUUCCGAAUGGGGGGAAGGCCUAACGAGCCACAGCGGGGGGGGGAAGAAAGUUUUUGGGUUCGAAAAACCUUUUUUUUGGGAAAAAAAAAAUUUGUAAAAAACCUUGCCGUUUUGAAGGGAACCAAAGAAGAAGCCCACGGUAAAUUCGUG
rnacentral:rRNA from 1 species